rnacentral:rRNA from 1 species
UACCCGCGCUGGACCGUGUACAAGUCUCCUGGAAUGGAGCGUCAUAGAGGGUGAGAAUCCCGUCUCUGACACGGACUACCAGGGCUUUGUGGUAUGCUCUCAAAGAGUCGAGUUGUUUGGGAAUGCAGCUCAAAAUGGGUGGUAAAUUCCAUCUAAAGCUAAAUAUUGGCGAGAGACCGAUAGCGAACAAGUACCGUGAGGGAAAGAUGAAAAGAACUUUGGAAAGAGAGUUAAACAGUACGUGAAAUUGCUGAAAGGGAAACGCUUGAAGUCAGUCACGUUGGCCAGGGAUCAGCCUUGCUUUUUUUGCUUGGUGCACUUUCUGGUUGACGGGUCAGCAUCAAUUUUGACCACUGGAAAAAGGCUUAAGAAAUGUGGCAGCUCCGGCUGUGUUAUAGUCUUGGGUCACAUACAGUGGUUGGGAUUGAGGCACUCAGCACGCCGCAAGGCCGGGUUUCGACCACGUUCGUGCUUAGGAUGCUGGCAUAAUGGCUUUAAGCGACCCGUCUUGAAACACGGACCAAGGAGUCUAACAUGCUUGCGAGUGUUUGGGUGGUAAACCCGAGCGCGUAAUGAAAGUGAAAGUUGAGAUCCCUGUCGUGGGGAGCAUCGACGCCCGGACCAGAACUUUUGGGACGGAUCCGCGGUGGAGCAUGUAUGUUGGGACCCGAAAGAUGGUGAACUAUGCCUGAAUAGGGUGAAGCCAGAGGAAACUCUGGUGGAGGCUCGUAGCGAUUCUGACGUGCAAAUCGAUCGUCAAAUUUGGGUAUAGGGGCGAAAGACUAAUCGAAC